AGGAGUAAUACCACCUGAUGCCAAAGGGCCAGGAAUGGGGCGGGGACGGGGACGGGGACGGGGUAAAGGAAAGUGAUAAAACAACUUACGUGAUAUCUUGUCUUUCAAAGUCAAGGCCAUUUCAAAGACAACUCAUGUUCGUCUUGAUUUAAUUGAUUGUUUAAUGACUGUAUACACCGACAUUUUAAAAGUAAACUAGCCUUCAGUUUGAAUGUAAAGAAUUGAAAAUAAAUGAACACAACUC